rnacentral:rRNA from 1 species
UACGAAGGGAGCUAGCGUUGUUCGGAAUCACUGGGCGUAAAGCGCACGUAGGCGGAUGUGUCAGUCAGUGGUGAAAGCCCGGAGCUCAACUCCGGAACUGCCAUUGAAACUGUUUAGCUUGAGGAUGAGAGAGGUGAGUGGAAUUCCCAGUGUAGAGGUGAAAUUCGUAGAUAUUGGGAAGAACACCGGUGGCGAAGGCGGCUCACUGGCUCAUUACUGACGCUCAGGCGCGAUAGCGUGGGGAUCAAACAGG